rnacentral:rRNA from 1 species
UGUAAGCGUAUACCAAAGUUGUUGCAGUUAAAACGCUCGUAGUCGGAAUUUGGCAGUUCCGGAUGUGUGCACGUCGUGUGCGCACUUCGCGGGGAUUGCUUUUGUGGUCUUGCGUAGGAUGAGGCACUUUUAUUAGUGAACGUCCUCACGCAACCACUUUUUACUGUGAGAAAAUCAGAGUACUCAAAGCAGGCAUUUUCCGUGAAUGUAUUAGCAUGGAAUAAUAGAAUAGGACUUGGUUCUAUUUUGUUGGUUUGUUGGGACUGAGUAAUGAUUAAGAGGGACAGUUGGGGGCAUUUGUAUUUCGGUGCUAGAGGUGAAAUUCUUAGAUUACCGAAAGACAAACUGCUGCGAAAGCGUCUGCCAAGGAUGUUUUCAUUGA